rnacentral:lncRNA from 1 species
CUCUCUCUCUCUCUCUCUCUCUCUAUCUUCCUCUCUUCACUCUCUCUUUUGCUCACGUUGUUUUCUCUAUCUCCGCCAUUCUCUCUAGCGGAGUCUUGGCUGGAAUCACAUAAAUUGAUCGGAAAUAUUGAGUUUCUAAGUGAGGGUUUGAUGUAAUCAAGUUUAUGUUGAAGAAUUGAGAGAUGAAAGAAGGAAAAGCCCAAAUUGAUUCUUCAAAAGUGCUGCAACGUUUCAUGAACAAAGUUUCGAGAAUCCGGAGGCACUGGUAUAAACAAUAAGAUGUCAGCUUCACAUCGGUGGUGGUGGUCGGCAAGGGUCGAAGAAGACGAGCCGUCGAGAACCAGAAUUUCAGCGGUUGGUCCGUCAAAGAAUUAAUUGAGCGGACGCCUUAAAAGUGGAAUCUCGACGAUCAGGUCCCAUCAUUAGAAACCUUACGAUGUUACCUUUCUGUUGGUGUUGAAGCUCGAUGGCUUGCACCGACGUUGUUCGCCGGAGUUUGGCGAGAAGUCAGCCUGCUCGCUGCGAUUUUGGGGAAGCAAAAUCUGCUGCCGCACUUGUUUUCGGAGCCGAAAAUCGAAGGGUUUCGAAUGCGAAUUUGGAAUCGGUUCCUUCAGGAACUUCGUAGAGGACAUCGUAAACUAUAAGUAAGUGUUCAAUUGUAUCGAAUUAGAGUAUUUAAUAUACGUGUUUUAGAGGUCGGAAUCUGAUGACAGUAAUCUGCCGGAAACAGGGCAGUUUUGAGUAUCUUCUUGCGGGACUGUUUUCGAUAUGUUGGGAUCAUAAUUUGGGCUAGGUGCCUUCAUGAAACUUGUAGAUUAAACUUCCAGGUUUCAUUCGAUGUAUUAUUUGGACAAUUUCGAUAACCGUACAAUUUGUUAUGAUUUUCAAACGGGCUGUGGCAGUAAACGAAUUUAUCCGAAAAUCUGGCAGGCUUAUGUAUUCAUCUUUCGGGGUUGUUAUUGACGGGUUAUGUUGUUAAUUUGGGAUUAAAGUCUUUAGUAAAAUUGUAGAUACAGAUGUUGUCUUUAACUUUAUAUAUCAUUUAGGUUAUUCGGAUAAGUACGACGAUCGCAAUGAUUAUUUGAAUAGAGUGCCACGAGAAGCAAUUCUUAGUAUAUGUUUAAGAAAUUGACUAUGUUAUAUAGUGGAUGGUAGUAUGACUAUAUUACUGUUCGGAAUCUUAUUUAGUUCUAAUAUUUGCUUAGGUGUUGAGCAUAGUAAAGCUCUCACUCAAGGUUUAAGCUUAAAGAUAGACCUAUAGAACUGGCAUUGGACUUCAGGUGAGAAACUAUGACUCCUUAUCCAAUUUCUUUCCUGCGCAUAAUAUCUCCUUUGUUUGAACCGAAUAUUUUGUAUAUAUUGAAGCCUUCGAUACCUUGAUUAUAUUUGUUCUUGAAAUAUGAUCCUUAAUGUUUUGCGAGCAUAUUGUUUUCUUGGCUCGAACUUGGAACCUUGAUCUUGUUCUUGAAAUCUUGAACUUGUUAUUUCUCUUGGUUGCUAUGUUCACGGCUAAUUCUUAUACUUGAUUCAUUGGCCUGAACAUUUUCCUUGAACUCGAUAUUGGACUAUAUUUAUUCUCAAAAUCUUGUCGAGAAUAAAUAUUUCGUUGGCUCGAACUUGAAUCUCAUGUUUAUUGAAUUCAGUGAGAUCUUGAUAUAUACUCGUUCUUGGAAUCCGAUAUUGGACUUAUUGUUCUUCUUGACUUCCAUAUUCACGAAUAUUCUCUCCUUGGCUUGAACUGAAUUCUCGAACAUGUUCAUUCUCGAACAUGUUCAUUAUCCUGAGACUUGAUGUUCGAUUAUCAUGAUCAUGACUUAUCUUGUGAAUGAUUGACUUGAUUCUUGAAAUGAAUGACUUGAUAUUCCUAAAAGGAAUGAUAUUGAUUCUUGAACCUACUGUCCCCACCCUUGAGGACGCUCUUGGGGGAGCUGGGCCCUAGGACCAUUUCGGCAAGACGAUCGGGCAGUAUUGGGCUGACGAUGACUGGUCUCCCGAAUGGUACCUCCUGAUGGUUCGGACUCACGUUCGUUUGGAGUUAAACGUUUCUGAGCCGGAUCGGCACGUUCCGGUCGUGCCUCUUGCCUGUUUCCGACCGAGUGGCCACUCGGGACGGAGUGGAGGGACAAGGAUGUGAUAUGAUUUUAUUUGUUGGGAGUUACAAGGUUGGAGAUCCCACCAAAUAUUGAUCUCAAGCCGUACAUGUUACACUCUUGUACAUGUUACACUUAUGUUAAUGAAAUUCUUGUAAAGUCUCCCGUUAUAUGUUCUGUUCUGUUGAUUCUCAUCAUACUCAUGGAUCAUAUGUUUUUCACUAAGUCAUUCGGACUUAUUCGUUUCUCCUUUCUGAUAUUAAUGCGCAGGUAAAAGAAUGAUUUAGACCUAAAUUUUCAUACUAAGAGUUAAAGCUCAUGUAUGCCUCCGAUUAGUCUCGUCGAGAGGUAUCUCUAUUUAUGUUCCGUAUAGGAAUCCUUUGAUCGAGAAUUUUGUAAUAGAGUAAGUGGUGUCGAAGCCGACUUGUAAUAGAACCUCCUUUUGUAAACACGAUGGUAUAGAUAUUGGGGGUUUAAUGUUUUGAUCAUCGAAAUUUUGAGGAGCAUAUUUGGGGUCAUUGAAUGUACUGCAUGUUGAGUGGUGUUCCGCCACGAGGUGCCUGCUACUCGGGGCGGGGCGCUACAGGUGGUAUCAGAGCUUUGGGUUGGUAAAGCUUUGGGUUGGCUUUGGGUUGGAUGCCUGGGCGGUGAUGGAAAGGGAUCUUUGAAAACUGUAGAGAUAUGAAUUGAAUCUUGGGAAAUUGAGAAGAUUGGUAGUAAUCGAGUAUUAAAGGCAUUGAGAUAAUUCUUUAGCGACUAUUACCGAUGUAGAUAGUGAGGAAUACCCGUAGAAAUAUCUAUCAUACACGACCUGAGACGCAGUUUGAGAUUCUUGGUUCUUUUGGUUACUUCAAUUGACUUCCAAUUCUCCCAAUUCUCCGACGUUGUUUAUCACGAGUGAGGUCCCUAGUCUCACGUGAAUUUGGUAAUACUCUUUUUUGCAGACGUCCCAUUCCAUUUUACUUCAUAACUUGACUUCCUUAUCGAAACCAUAUUAUCUCGUUUUGAGUAUUGAUUACGGUGAACCAAAUAUUCGGGAGUUCUUUUGUUCACUCCUUAUCAUUCCAAUGAAUUCAAUUUUGAUUCGUUAGCCUAUAUUGUCUAAUUUCAUUUGUUGAUCGUAAUUGAUCCUCUUAUCUCAUUUUAUUAUCUCAUAGUCUUGGUUAACAAUUUUAUGAGGUUUCGUACCCCUUCAAUUUCCGCAUGGUUUGGAUUAUCUCUUGUCUUGAAGCCCCUUACCUUAUUGUGCUACCAUCUCCACCUUCUAUCCUUUUUUUUUAAAUAUUCUAUGGUUUCGGCUUAUCUAUUUGCCGAGGCUUCUCAUCCAGUUCACUCCAUCCUUAGUGAUCCAAUUAUUUUGACUACGUCAUGACUUUGGUCAUGUUCUUGUGAGGCUGCUUACUUUAUUCUAUUACCAUCAGCUUUGAUCAUCUAUUGUGAGGUUUUGUAUCUCUUUGAACACUCUCUAGUUUCGGCUAAUCUAUUUGUCGAGACUUUUUAUUUCCUUGAAUAUUGCUUUUAUUAAUCAAUAUAUACUACUCCAUUUUCAAUGUUCCAAUUUUCUUGAAUAUCUCGUGAUUUUGGUCACGUACCUUUGAGGUCCCUAUUCUCGUUUGAUUUGGUUAUACCAUUUGUUAUGAUUCUGAUAUCGGGUCAAUCUUUCUUCCUAUUUUAAGGUUCUUGUUCUUUUGGCCUCAAAAAAAUUCAAUUCUUGUACAUGUAUUGUUCCAUUGUUAUUAUUGUUCACAAUGGAAAUCCCAUAUCUCAUUUCAAAACUCCUUAUCUUAUUUCAAUACUUCAGCAUCUCGGUUACCUACUUUCUCAGGUAUCUGAUUCUUUGAAUACAAUAUUGCUUGACUAUCUUACUUCCUUCCCACUAUUGAUCACGAGUGAGGUAUUUGAUCUCGUUUGAAUGCCUCGAUUUCCUUGUUCCGUUCUUUUUUGAGAUUCCUCAUCUCAUUUAAUACUUCUCGAUAUAUCCUAUUAUGUGAGGUUUCUUAUCCAUUUGAAACCUUGUGAUUCGACUUCUUCAUAUCGCUUCUUGUUGUUCCCUCUCACUCAUAGGUCAUGAUUAUUGAUAAUUCAGGGUAAACGUAUGGACCUUGUAUGGGUAAUGUCGUGUCAUAUGACUACGGUUGUACGCAUCUAUUGUUAUAUCAUCUUAUGGAUCUUACUCAACGGAAAAAGGUUAUGUAGUUAUCCCGACUUAGAAAUUCUAUAGAGUUUGUUGACUCUUAAAGUAUCUUGAGCAUUUUGAAUUCUUGAUUCUAAUCGUCAGGGUACAGGGAGCUAAGUGCUAUGUAGGGCAAAGUGCUACACAAUGGGAGUCACCUCUUAAUCUUGCAUGAGCCACCUCUAGAGUCCCUAGUAUCCGAUAAGUCAGCUAUAUCUUUACAUUGGAUUAUCAGUUUUUGCAAUUCUGUUUGGUUAAUAUCAAGAGCUAAGUGCUAUGUGGAGAAGGUGUUUAAAGUACAACACCUUUGUCAAUAACACCGUAGAGGAUUGUACUUUUCUUUGUAAGAUGUGAACGAACAACUACAAGAAUUUGUCCUUGAUGAUCAACUUGCUAUAAAUAAGUUGCCGUCAUGUAGUUUGGUUGAAGUAAUUCACUAUCGGCAUUAACAGAUAUAGUGUGUAUAAUGUUUCGGACGUGAUUAGAGCGUGCUUAGUGUCGAAGAAUGACAUUGGACUAGUUCACCUAUGUGGAAAUAGUAGUGAAUUCAAUGAAUUAAGGCUACUCAAUUGUCGGAAUUCUGAGUCAUGACUUCUCUACAAUAAGUAUUUAUUAGGCAUGCGGUUGUGAAACCACCGGAAGAUUAUAUCAACCGUUGUCAUCUUCGAUUUCUCUUGAUUUUAGAAGUAAAUCUCUCUUCCAUCAACUGUUUCAUGGUCGAUCUACUGUUCGAAAACCUUUUCCUUGCGAACGCCGUCUAUAAUCAAGCCAUUCUAGUCUCCAAUGUUGCUAUAAUAAGUAAAUCAGGCUUGUCGUCCUCUUUGAUUGUAAUUGUGGUGCAUUCAAUUCCACUUUAUGUAGACCAAUGAAAAGAGAAUUUUUUUGUGUGAUGGGAAAGUAGUUGCCUCUUCACUCUCCUAAAGAUAAUUGAGAUCCGAAAUCUAUCUCUUGUAGCUAACUCACAUUGUCUCGAUAUAGAUAUAAGUCAUCUCGUUCUUAUGAAAGCAACUAUCUGCAACAUAGGAAAAAUUUCAGCUCGGUACGAGAAACGUUCUCAAAACUAACUCUCGUGUGAGUGGACGACUGAAAACAUUGAAGGAACCUUGUGAACGUAUAACGCAGAUCAUCGUGAUAAUUGGGAAUCUAUCAAGCUGGAAUGCAGACAGCUUCGCAGUAGUUCGUGGAAUAAACUGUCAAUCGAGCUUGCAAUUCAAGAUUAGAUGAGCGACGAAUAACUAACGACGGCAAAUGUAAGGGCUUGGAGAUUGAUACAAGAUGCUACGGUAAAGUUCGACUUAUCAAAUAAAGAUCAAAGCCUACACGAGAUUGUCAAAAGAGUUAUGGAGAUGUGGAAGUAGAUAUGUAGUUCUAGUUACCACAAAGGCUCGAGCGAAACGGAGGAGAAGAAACACGUUCUCUUGAAGAAUGUGACACGGAUAAGUAGGGAGAGAUUCAAAGAUUCGAACGAUAUCAGACCCUUAUUAAUCCCUUUCAUUCCUCUCAUCAUGCCAUUUAUAGCACUCCUAGCUACAACCCUAACUAGAUUGUUUCUUAUAGGUUAACGUACCUCACAAGUCCCAUUAAUUGGUUGACGAACCGUAACUUGGCCUUCAACUUCUAGAACGUUAUAAAUAUUUAGCAUCUUGCUCAACAGUAAGGCUACAUCGAGUUUGAGACCGAUGAACUGUACGGUAUUACUAAUGGUGCCGCGGAUAUUAAGGUUCCACAAGCAUUACUUCCUAGUACUACCUCAGAUUUGAAUUGAAUAAGUAAUUUCGAAUUCAUUACGAUAGUAGUUUGACUCGUUACUUAAGUCAAUACCAAGUUUGGAACAUAUAGAUCGUUAAGGAAACAAUUUAUGAUAGGUAUAGCGACUAAGCUAACACCAUUUUGAUCGAUUUCGAAUGUUAUUCAUUGAAGCGACAUGGCUUGAAGAUAUAUUAUCACAUGAAUAGAAAUCGGUUCCUAUUGUCGGCACCAACUUCUAUACUUGCUAGAGACUACACGCACAAAUGAUAUCUAUCAUGAUAACGAAUUCCUCAAUCACAAGACUUGAAGGUAUUAUGGAGAAACCACGAAGUUCAAGAAGCGACGGAUGAGCAAGAAGAUAAUUUUAGGAAAUUGUAUUUUCAUGUUCGAAUAAUAGUUGAGAAUCUGGGGACCAGAUUCUUUUAAGGAGGGAAGAGUGUAACACCCCGUAAAUAUGUAAGUUGUUUAAGUCUGGGGAUAAUUGAAUUUAAUUAGUUAAUAUGUGUCGAUAUGAGAUUAUAAUAUAUUUUGAAUUUGAUGGGAAGUGUAGAAAUUGUAAUUAUUUAAAGUAUGGCUUCUAUUUAGUAAUUAAGAAAACAAUUUGGCCUUGUAGCCAAUUUUCAGAAUUUAUAGUGAGAUAGGGAUUGACGUGUACUUCGCCUAUUCUAAUUCCUUCUAUGGCAGCCACGUUUCUCUUCUCUCUCCCUCACCGUCUCUCUACCUCACCGUCUCUCUCUCUCUCUCUCUAUCUUCCUCUCUUCACUCUCUCUUUUGCUCACGUUGUUUUCUCUAUCUCCGCCAUUCUCUCUAGCGGAGUCUUGGCUGGAAUCACAUAAAUUGAUCGGAAAUAUUGAGUUUCUAAGUGAGGGUUUGAUGUAAUCAAGUUUAUGUUGAAGAAUUGAGAGAUGAAAGAAGGAAAAGCCCAAAUUGAUUCUUCAAAAGUGCUGCAACGUUUCAUGAACAAAGUUUCGAGAAUCCGGAGGCACUGGUAUAAACAAUAAGAUGUCAGCUUCACAUCGGUGGUGGUGGUCGGCAAGGGUCGAAGAAGACGAGCCGUCGAGAACCUGAAUUUCAGCGGUUGGUCCGUCAAAGAAUUAAUUGAGCGGACGCCUUAAAAGUGGAAUCUCGACGAUCACGUCCCAUCAUUAGAAACCUUACGAUGUUACCUUUCUGUUGGUGUUGAAGCUCGAUGGCUUGCACCGACGUUG